GGGGAAUAUUGCACAAUGGGCGCAAGCCUGAUGCAGCCAUGCCGCGUGUGUGAAGAAGGCCUUCGGGUUGUAAAGCACUUUCAGUCAGGAGGAAAGGUUAACGGUUAAUACCCGUUAGCUGUGACGUUACUGACAGAAGAAGCACCGGCUAACUCCGUGCCAGCAGCCGCGGUAAUACGGAGGGUGCGAGCGUUAAUCGGAAUUACUGGGCGUAAAGCGUACGCAGGCGGUUUGUUAAGCGAGAUGUGAAAGCCCCGGGCUCAACCUGGGAACUGCAUUUCGAACUGGCAAACUAGAGUGUGAUAGAGGGUGGUAGAAUUUCAGGUGUAGCGGUGAAAUGCGUAGAGAUCUGAAGGAAUACCGAUGGCGAAGGCAGCCACCUGGGUCAACACUGACGCUCAUGUACGAAAGCGUGGGGAGCAAACGGGAUUAGAUACCCCGGUAGUCCACGCCGUAAACGAUGUCUACUAGAAGCUCGGAGCCUCGGUUCUGUUUUUCAAAGCUAACGCAUUAAGUAGACCGCCUGGGGAGUACGGCCGCAAGGUUAAAACUCAAAUGAAUUGACGGGGGCCCGCACAAGCGGUGGAGCAUGUGGUUUAAUUCGAUGCAACGCGAAGAACCUUACCUACACUUGACAUACAGAGAACUUACCAGAGAUGGUUUGGUGCCUUCGGGAACUCUGAUACAGGUGCUGCAUGGCUGUCGUCAACUCUGUUGUGA
rnacentral:rRNA from 1 species